UACGAAGGGGGCUAGCGUUGUUCGGAAUCACUGGGCGUAAAGCGCACGCAGGCGGUCUGAUAAGUCUGGGGUGAAAUCCCGGAGCUCAACUUCGGAAUUGCCUUUGAUACUGUCUGUCUUGAGUCCGGGAGAGGUGAGUGGAAUUCCUAGUGUAGAGGUGAAAUUCGUAGAUAUUAGGAAGAACACCAGUGGCGAAGGCGGCUCGCUGGCCCGGUACUGACGCUCAUGUGCGAAAGCGUGGGGAGCAAACAGG
rnacentral:rRNA from 1 species